AUGGGGCCCUCACCAGCAGUGGGGGAAGAUACUCCAGAAACUGGCCCUGAUACCUUUGUCCUAAGAGUCAGAAGGCCACCCACUUUUCCUGUUAGUGAACCAGUGGCACAGCAGCAGUGUGAAAACAGAGAAAUACAGCAACACAAAAAGUCAGUGCAUCAAAAACAGAAAGAAACCCCAGAGCGCGAGCACGGCGCAGCCCAGCCCAGCCCGAGCGCGGACCCGGCGCCUGCAGCCUUGGCGCCGCCAUGGUGGAGGCGGUGGUGCCGGCCCGGGCCGCUGCGGAGGACCUUCUCGGUGCCUUGACAUUGAGUUGCUGGACCAGUGCGAUUUCUCGCGGGCCAAGGCCGCGGCCAGCCAGGCGUGGGUGCUGCGGGCGGUGUUCGGGGGGCGCAGAGCACGUACCCCCGGAGCUGUGGAAGCCCUUCUAUACUGACCAGUAUGCGCAGGAGCACGUGAAGCCCCCAGUGACACGGCUGUUGCUCUCAGCCCAUCUCUGCUGCAGGGCCUGGCGCCAGGCACUGCCACAGUUUGAAACACCCCCCAACCCCUCUGCACUGCUGGCCCUGCUGGCGCGGAGGGUCACGGUGCCUGCAUUGCCGGAGCGGCAGGUGCGCAAGGCUGACCUGAGGCACCAGCCCAUUCUCAUGGGAGCCCAUCUAGCUGUCAUUGAUGUCGUCAUGGCUGCCUUUGCCUUCGAGUGGACAAAGGCCCUGCCAGGUCCCUUGGCCCUCACCAGGUUGGAGCACAAGCUGCUUUUCUGGGUGGACACGACCGUCUGGCGGCUGCAGGAGAAGACAGAGCAGGAAGCGGCCCAGAGAGCCUCUCCAGCAGCCCCUGCAGACUGGGCGGCCCCGGCGCAGCCCUAGAUCCGAUACCGCAAGGACCGGGUGGUGGCACGGCAUGUCCCCUGCUUCCCAACGGUGACCAGCCUCCAGGACCUGACCAGUGGGGCUGCACUGGCCGGCACCAGCCACUGCUAUUGUCCCCAGCUGCUUCGACUUGAGGAGGUGUGCCUGAAGGACCCCAUGUCUGUGGCGGACAGCCUGUACAACCUCCAGCUGGUGCAGGACUUUGCGCCUCCCGCCUUCCCCGUGGCUGCCCCCUGUCCCUCGAGGACUUGCUCUCCGUCCCCCCGCUGCUCAAGGUCAACUUGGUGGUGCUGCUGGCUGAGUUGUUCAUGUGUUUUGAGGUGCUCAAGCCUGACUUCGUGCAAGUGAAGGACUUGCUGGAUAGUCACGCCGCCUCCCCCGGGGCACGGAGGCCCCCGCCCCCAACAACAUUGGCAGCAGUUCUCCUGUCUUCAACAUCCACCUCCCACUCCUGUCACCUGGCGGCCUCAGUCCCCACUCCGAGGAUCCACAGGCUCCCUGAAGUCUUCCCCGUCCAUGUCCCAUAUGGAGGCCCUAGGCAAGGCCUGGAACCGGCAGCUCAGCGACGUGGAUGUCGUCAUGGGAGACCCUGUGCUCCUGCGCUCUGUGAGCUCGGACAGCCUGGGACCCCCCACAUCCCGCGCCGGCCAGGACCCCUGCCCAGCAACCCCCGGAGCCUGGCGACCUGCCCACCAUCAAGGAGGCUCAGCAGAUCAUCCACAGUGCCAAGCCCUGGCUGCUCCCAGACGGGCUGGCUGAUGGCAACUUCUACCUCCACUCCCCUGAGGGGGCCUCCAAGCCAUCCCUGGCCUCCCCGUGCCUGCCUGAGGGGACCUCCAAACUACUGUCCGAGAAGCCCACCAAAGCACUGGUGUACAUGCUACACCCCGAGACCCCCUCAAAACCAUCUUGGUGGGGGAGGCAUCGAAACCGCCGGCCCCAUCCAAGGGGUCCCCAAAGGCAGCGGCUUUUUCCCCCGCGGCCACCAACUCCGAGGUGAAAAUGACCAGCUUUGCGGAACGCAAGAAACAGCUGGUGAAGGCAGAGGCUGAAGCUGGAGCAGGGUCCCCCACGUCCACUCCGGCCCCGCCAGAGGCCCUGAGUUCAGAGAUGAGUGAGCUUGGCGUCCGGCUGGAGGAGAAACGCAGAGGCAUUGAGGCCAUCUUUGCAAAGCACUGCCAGCGGCUGGGCAAAAGCGCCUUCCUGCAGGUGCAGCCAAGGGAGGCUUCUGGGGAGGCGGAGGCCGAGGCCGACCCUGGCCCAGUCCCUGGUGGGGAGCGGCCAGUGGGUCAGGGCCAGGGUGAGCCAACUUUACGGCCCAAGGUAGUGACCUUCUCGCCAGACCUGGGUCCGCUGCCCCCCGAGGGGUUGGGGGAAUACAAUCAAGCGGUCAGCAAGCUGAGUGCUGCUUUGAGCUCUCUGCAGCGGUACAUGCAGAGGCUCACGGACCAGCAGCAGCGGCUGCUGGCCCUGCCAGAGGCCCCUGGACCUGCCCCCCACCCUGCUGCAAGGAUCAUCCCUGGCCCCACGACGACGGGGUCCAAAAUCUUGUCCCCCAGCCCCGCCCAGUGGGUCCCGGCCACCCGGUGCAGCCCUGGGCCCGGGCCCAGCCCCUCACCCCGAAGCCUGAAACACACCCGGCCAGCGGAGCUGCGGCUGGCGCCCCUGACCAGGGUGCUCACACCACCCCACGACAUAGACAGCCUCCCCCACCUGCUCAAGUUCUCCCCGAGCCAGGUGCCUGUGCAGACGCGCUCCUCCAUCCUCCUGGCAGAGGGGACACCCCCCGAGGAGCCAGCCGCCCUCCGGGCCUCAUCGAGAUCCCGCUGGGUAGAUCCCGCCGCCGAGGAAGACGGAGACGGGAGUCCCCCUGGUGCUGAGGAUUCCUUGGAAGAGAAAGCGUCUUCAGAGGGGUAGCCCCGAGCGGGGCUGGGGUUCUUCUACAAGGAUGAAGACAAGCCUCAGGAUGAGAGGGCCCAAAAGCGGGCCAUCCUGCUGGAGCUGCAGCAGCGGCUAGCAGAGGAGGUGCGGCGGCGCAAGCAGUGGCAGGAGGUGGAGAAGGAACCGCGGAGGGAAGAGGCCGCGAGGCUGGCCCAUGAGGAGGCCCCUGGCCCAGCCCCAGCCCUGUCCACAGUCCCUGCAGCCCCCAUGGCCACCCCGGCGCCUGCUGCCCGGGCCCCAGCCGAGGAGGAGGUGGGCCUCUGGUGGGGGGACUUCACGUAGCUGGAGUACGAGCGCUGAGCCCAGCUGAAGCUGAUGGACGACCUUGAUAAGGUGCUGCGGCCGCCCCGGGGAUGCGGGGUCGGGGGCCCGGGUCGGGGCGGGCGGAAGGCGCCGCGGCCUAGCUCAGGUUGCUGUGAUGAUUCGGCCCUAGCGCGAAGCCCAGCACGCGGCCUACUGGGCUCUCGGCUGAGCAAUAUCUAUUCCCAGUCCACCCUGUCACUGUCCACUGUGGCCAACGAGGCCCCCAAUAACCUCGGGAUGAAGAGGCCCACGUCUCGGGCUCCCUCCCCGUCGGGCCUCAUGUCCCCAAGCUGCCUGCCUGGGAGCCAUGAACGGGACUGGGAGAAUGGCAGCAAUGCCUCCCAGCGUCGGUGCCCGAGCACACAGGUCCACGGCUGUACAAGGAGCCUAGUGCCAAGUCCAACACGUUCAUCAUCCACAAUGCUCUGUCACACUGCUGCCUGGCGGGCAAGGUGAACGAACCGCAGAAGAACCGCAUUCUGGAGGAAAUUGAGAAAAGCAAGGCCAACCACUUCCUGAUCCUCUUUCGCGACUUGAGCUGCCAGUUCAGGGCGCGUCAGGGGAGACGGAGGAGCUGUCGCGGCUGGCGGGCUACGGGCCCCGGACCGUCACACCCGCCAUGGUGGAAGGCAUCUAUAAGUAUAACUCGGACCGCAAGCUCUUCAUCCAGAUCCCCGCCAAGAUCAUGUCCAUGAGCGUUGAUGCCUUCACCAUCCAGGGACACCUCUGGCAGGGCAAGAAACCCACCACUCCCAAGAAGGGCGGCAGCACCCCCAAAUAGCCCCACCCGGGGCUGGGCCCUGUGUGCUGCGGCCACCGCUUCCCGGAGGACAGUGAGUGGGUUUUCCUGGGUCCUGUCUGUCCCCAGCCGUGUCUGGGUGGGACUGGAGCCUCUACCCUCUGACUCUGAGACCAGUCCUGCUGUGGGGGCUGAGCUGGGAGGUUCAGGGACUCAGGACUCAGCUCAGUCCCCUUGUCUGUCCUCCCCCACUUCUUGAAUAAAAUAAUUUAAAGAGAAGUUGUGCCUUGUCCCCUCCAAGGCUGGCCGGGGUCCCACACUCCAAAAAAAAAAAAAAAAAGUACAUUUGAAGUUACAUUUUAUUUAAACAGGUAAAAAUGUAUAUGUCCUUUUAAAAUUAAA